GACGAGUCUCACGAACGUUAUUCGGAAUUACUGGGCUUAAAGGGUGCGUAGGCGGUGGAGUAAGUCGGAUGUGAAAUACCAUAGCUUAACUAUGGAACUGCACUCGAUACUGGAUGACUAGAGGACCGGAGAGGAUAGUGGAAUUCCCAGUGUAGUGGUGAAAUGCGUAGAGAUUGGGAAGAACACCAGUGGCGAAGGCGGCUAUCUGGACGGUUUCUGACGCUAAGACGCGAAAGCGUGGGGAGCAAACAGG
rnacentral:rRNA from 1 species